GGGGGGGUACUGAUAGUUUACAGAAUGAGGAAAGCUCAGGAGGGAAACUUAGUAGUGUAAUAAUGGUGGGUUAGUUCAUUUUGGGAUUUAACCAAAGAGUUUUAUUUUGACUUAAAUUUUUAUUAUAUUAUUUUUUUUACAUGUUGGGGUUAGAAUGUUUAUAUAACUUUUUGGCAGUAUUUGGUAUUGAAAAUUCGUUCAGUUGAGAUUCAGGAAUUAGUGGUGGUUUUAAUCAAACUUGUGCCAGCAAUUGCGGUUAUACAAGUAAUGCAAUUAAAAUUUUUUGGUUAAUAAUUAAUUGUGUAGUCUUUUAGUUUUAAGAUGAAUUUAGGGGGUGAAAUUUAAAAUUCGGUUAAAGCUUGAGGGUUGGUUAUGAAGUUGUUAAAGUUUGCGUUUAAACUAGGAUUAGAUACCCUACUAUUCUAACUGUAAAGUCUCGUGCCUGAUUAUUAGUAGAUAUAUUCUUUAAAAUUAAAAUAUUUGGCGGUAUCUCAGUCUAUUCAGAGGAAUCUGUCCCGUAAUUGAUAGCCCACGAUUUGUUCUACUUUUUCUUUAAGUUUGUAUAUCGCCGUGGUUGAACAUUUCAUUAGAAUGAAAAUGUUCAAUUUGUUCAAUAAAAGUGGAUGUCAGGUCAGGGUGCAGCUCAUGAGGAAGAUGGAGAUGGAUUACUAUAUUUUAUUUCUGGUUUAUUUCUUUUUAAUUAGAAUAAUAAAUAGGAUUUGAUAGUAGUAUUAUUUAGAUUUUUAAUGCGAUUUAGGCUCUGAGGUAUGCACAUAUUGCCCGUCGCUUUCAUUAAGGUGGAAUAAGUCGUAACAAAGUAGAUGUACUGGAAAGUGCUUCUAGAAAUAU
rnacentral:ncRNA from 1 species